CCUACGGGUGGCAGCAGUGAGGAAUAUUGGUCAAUGGACGAGAGUCUGAACCAGCCAAGUAGCGUGAAGGAUGACUGCCCUAUGGGUUGUAAACUUCUUUUAUAAAGGAAUAAAACGAGGCACGUGUGCCUUUUUGCAUGUACUUUAUGAAUAAGGAUCGGCUAACUCCGUGCCAGCAGCCGCGGUAAUACGGAGGAUCCGAGCGUUAUCCGGAUUUAUUGGGUUUAAAGGGAGCGUAGAUGGGUUGUUAAGUCAGUUGUGAAAGUUUGCGACUCAACCGUAAAAUUGCAAUUGAUACUGGCAGUCGUGAGUACAGUUGAGGUAGGCGGAAUUCGUGGUGUAGCGGUGAAAUGCUUAGAUAUCACGAAGAACCCCGAUUGCGAAGGCAGCUUACUAAACUGUGACUGACAUUGAUGCUCGAAAGUGUGGGUAUCAAACAGGAUUAGAUACCCCGGUAGUC
rnacentral:rRNA from 1 species